rnacentral:lncRNA from 1 species
UGCAUUCUUUCUCUUGGUAUGAGCUUAUAACGAUGGGAGAUAACUCUCCCAUACAAAUGAAAUUAAGCGCAUUAGGAACAGGAGGAGAACCUCAUCCUAACAUGAGCAAAGUCGAAGGUCCGGUUUCCUAAAGAUCAGAUGGAGAGAGAGGCCCUUACAACGGCCCUUAUGUGCCCCCACAGCCUUGUUAGGAACAGGAGGAGAACCUCAUCCUAACAUGAGCAAAGUCGAAGGUCUGAUUUUUUAAAGAUCGG